CCCAACUCUCAGCGGCGUACUCUUCCCAACGAGGAUCUUGACCUGACGCCGUGUCUUGGUGGGAAAAACAGAUUCGUUACGUCGCCGCGACGCUGUUCCUAACACUCGCGCACGUCGGAUAGAUUUACGCGCGUUUUCAUACUCGAGGAAAAGUGGACCGGAGUCGGGUUCCGGCGAGAUCGUACACACGUCGGAGCAAGGACACGGGUUUAAAAAGAAAGUGGGUGUGACAGAUCGAAACAGAAGGAUGGAAGAGGAUGGAAAGAAGUAGAGAUAGAGAGAUGGAAGAAGGUAGGAAGAACUGACGGGAAGAGAGAAGGAACGAUGGAUAAAAAGAAAGGAAGAAGGGCAGAUGUACAAAAUGAAGAACGGAAGGAUGAGGAAAAGGAGGACUGGAAUACGGAGGCAGGACGGACGAAGUGGGGGGUGGGGGUGGGUGGGGGGGGACGGAUGGAAGGAAGGACACAAAAGGAAGAGUGGGAAAAGAAAGAAAACGAUGGAAGGAGCGCCAGGAAGAAGGGAGAUCAAAAGCGUGAAUGAGUGGAAUGGAGCGAGGGGAAUAAAGAAGGAAGGAAGGAAGAAAAAGGAAAUAAGGAAGGAAGGAGGGAAGGAAAGAAGGCGAGAAGGAAGGAAGGAAGGAAGGAAGGAAAGAAGGAAAGAAGGAAAGAAGGCGAGAGGUAAGGAAGGAAGGAAGGAAGGAAGGAAGAAAAAGGAAAUAAGGAAGGAAGGAAAGAAGGCGAGAAGGAAGGAAGGAAGGAAGGAAGGAAGGAAAGAAGGAAGGAAGGAAAGAAGGAAGGAAGGAAAGAAGGAAAGAAGGCGAG
ensembl:lncRNA